rnacentral:rRNA from 1 species
GGGUCAGCAGGUUGGUCGUGCCUAUGGUAUGAACUGGCUUCGCUGGUCUCUCCUUUCUGAAGAACUGUAAUGCCAUUAAUUUGGUGUUGCAGGGACACAGGACUGUUACUUUGAAAAAAUUAGAGUGUUUAAAGCAGGCUAACGCUUGAAUACAUUAGCAUGGAAUAAUGAAAUAGGACGUUCGAACCUAUUUUGUUGGUUUCUAGGAUUGACGUAAUGAUU